rnacentral:rRNA from 1 species
CGGAGGGUGCGAGCGUUAAUCGGAAUUACUGGGCGUAAAGCGCGCGUAGGCGGUUUGUUAAGUCAGCUGUGAAAGCCCUGGGCUUAACCUGGGAACGGCAGUUGAUACUGGCAGGCUAGAGUGUGGUAGAGGGGUGUGGAAUUUCCGGUGUAGCAGUGAAAUGCGUAGAGAUCGGAAGGAACACCAGUGGCGAAGGCGGCACCCUGGACCAACACUGACGCUGAGGUGCGAAAGCGUGGGGAGCAAACAGGA